AUUGCAGUAGGGAAUCUUCGGCAAUGGGCGAAAGCCUGACCGAGCGACGCCGCGUGCGGGAUAAAGGCCCUCGGGUUGUAAACCGCUGUCGUAGAGGAGGAAAUGCAGGGGGGUUCUCCCCUUUGCUUGACCUAUUCUAGGAGGAAGUACGGGCUAAGUUCGUGCCAGCAGCCGCGGUAAGACGAGCUCCCCAAACGUUAUUCGGUAUUACUGGGCUUAAAGAGUUCGUAGGCGGCGAAGUAGGUGAGGUGUGAAAGCCCUCGGCUCAACCGAGGAACUGCGCUUCAAACCACUUUGCUAGAGGGAGAUAGGGGUAAGCGGAACAGAUGGUGGAACGGUGAAAUGUAUUGAUAUCAUCUGGAACACCGGUGGCGAAAGCGGCUUACUGGGUCUUUUCUGACGCUGAGGAACGAAAGCUAGGGUAGCGAACGGGAUUAGAUACCCCGGUAGUCCUAGCCGUAAACGAUGAGCACUGGGUUGAGGGGACUUCCACAUCCUCUCGGCCGUAGCGAAACCGUGAAGUGCCCCGCCUGGGGAGUAUGGUCGCAAGGCUGAAACUCAAAGGAAUUGACGGAAUC
rnacentral:rRNA from 1 species